rnacentral:rRNA from 1 species
AAGCGUUGUUCGGAAUCACUGGGCGUAAAGCGCACGUAGGCGGAUCGAUAAGUCAGGGGUGAAAGCCCGAGGCUCAACCUCGGAAUUGCCUUUGAUACUGUCGAUCUUGAGUCCGGGAGAGGUGAGUGGAACUCCGAGUGUAGAGGUGAAAUUCGUAGAUAUUCGGAAGAACACCAGUGGCGAAGGCGGAUUACUGGACGAUAACUGACGGUGAGGCGCG